rnacentral:rRNA from 1 species
GAUGAACGCUGGCGGCGUGCCUAAUACAUGCAAGUCGAGCGAGCGGACGAGAAGCUUGCUUCUCUGAUGUUAGCGGCGGACGGGUGAGUAACACGUGGAUAACCUACCUAUAAGACUGGGAUAACUUCGGGAAACCGUAGCUAAUACCGGAUAAUAUUUUGAACCGCAUGGUUCAAAAGUGGAAGACGGUCUUGCUGUCACUUAUAGAUGGAUCCGCGCUGCAUUAGCUAGUUGGUAAGGUAACGGCUUACCAAGGCAACGAUGCAUAGCCGACCUGAGAGGGUGAUCGGCCACACUGGAACUGAGACACGGUCCAGACUCCUACGGGAGGCAGCAGUAGGGAAUCUUCCGCAAUGGGCGAAAGCCUGACGGAGCAACGCCGCGUGAGUGAUGAAGGUCUUCGGAUCGUAAAACUCUGUUAUUAGGGAAGAACAUAUGUGUAAGUAACUGUGCACAUCUUGACGGUACCUAAUCAGAAAGCCACGGCUAACUACGUG